UUCGCAAUCGGGCUUCGGCUCGUGGUCGGCCUUUGCAUUCAUUGUCGGUACGUGCUGGGACGUUUGGCAGGCUCUUCUGAAGGCUUCAGAGUGGCCCAGGCUUGCCUGGUAGUCUUCUGUUGUCGGAAGUUGAUAUGCUUGCUAAUCGUAAAGUUGACCAGGCCUCUGCGCGGUCAGUUGCUGGGUAGUUCUCUGCUUGGUAGUCGGACAUGUCUGGCUGCCUCGUGCGAGGGCUGGUUAGUGGCUGCUCGCCUAUGGUUCAAUCCCGGUAUGUGAAAGUCGACCACCUAUCCGACCCGUCUUGAAACACGGACCAAGAAGUCUAGUAUGUACGCGAGUCAUUGGGUAUCAAAACCUAUUGGCGCAAUAAAUGUGAAGGGCGGCUCGUUCGUCUGAUAUGUGAUCCGUCGGUUUCGGCCGGCGGCGCAACAUAGUCCCAUGCCUACUGCUUGCAGUGGUGUGGAGAUGGAGCUUACACACUAGGACCCGAAAGAUGGUGAACUUUGCCUGAG
rnacentral:rRNA from 1 species